UACGAAGGGUGCAAGCGUUACUCGGAAUUACUGGGCGUACAGGGAGCGUAGGCGGUUGGAUAAGCCCUCCGUGAAAUCUCCAGGCUUAACCUGGAAAGUGCAGAGGGGACUGUUCAGCUAGAGGAUGGGAGAGGAGCGCGGAAUUCCCGGUGUAGCGGUGAAAUGCGUAGAGAUCGGGAGGAAGGCCGGUGGCGAAGGCGGCGCUCUGGAACAUUUCUGACGCUGAGGCUCGAAAGCGUGGGGAGCAAACAGG
rnacentral:rRNA from 1 species